rnacentral:tRNA from 1 species
GCCAAUGUGGCUCAGUAGAUAGAGCACUGGCCUGUGAAACAAAGGGUCCCAGGUUCAAUUCCGGUCAAGGGCA